UGACCUCGGAUCAGGUAGGACUACCCGCUGAACUUAAGCAUAUCAAUAAGCGGAGGAAAAGAAACCAACAGGGAUUGCCCUAGUAACGGCGAGUGAAGCGGCAACAGCUCAAAUUUGAAAUCUGGCCUUGCGGUCCGAGUUGUAAUUUGUAGAGGAUGCUUUUGGUGCGGUACCUUCCGAGUUCCUUGGAACAGGACGCCUUAGAGGGUGAGAGCCCCGUACGGUUGGAUGCCUAGCCUCUGUAAAGCUCCUUCGACGAGUCGAGUAGUUUGGGAAUGCUGCUCUAAAUGGGAGGUAAAUUUCUUCUAAAGCUAAAUAUCGGCCGGAGACCGAUAGCGCACAAGUAGAGUGAUCGAAAGAUGAAAAGCACUUUGAAAAGAGGGUCAAAUAGCACGUGAAAUUGUUGAAAGGGAAGCACUUAUGACCAGAACUUUUCCAGGCGAAUCAUCCAGUGUUCUCACCGGUGCACUUCGUCUGGUUUAGGCCAGCAUCGAUUUUUAUAGGGGGAUAAAGGCUUCGGGAAUGUGGCUCCCCUCGGGGAGCGUUAUAGCCCGCUGCGUAAUACCUCUGUAGGGAUCGAGGUUCGCGCUCUGCAAGGAUGCUGGCGUAAUGGUUAUUAGUGACC
rnacentral:rRNA from 1 species